UACGUAGGGUGCAAGCGUUAAUCGGAAUUACUGGGCGUAAAGCGUGCGCAGGCGGUUAUGUAAGACAGUUGUGAAAUCCCCGGGCUCAACCUGGGAACUGCAUCUGUGACUGCAUAGCUAGAGUACGGUAGAGGGGGGAUGGAAUUCCCGGUGUAGCGGUGAAAUGCGCAGAUAUCGGGAGGAACACCGGUGGCGAAGGCGGUUCUCUGGGCCUGACCUGACGCUGAGGAGCGAAAGCGUGGGGAGCGAACAGG
rnacentral:rRNA from 1 species